UCAAGCGAAGAAGGGCGCAGGGCGGAUGCCUUGGCACUGAGAGCCGAUGAAAGACGUGAUAAGCUGCGAUAAGCUUCGGGGAGGAGCAAAUAUCCUUUGAUCCGGAGAUCUCUGAAUGGGGAAACCCGGCUGUAUGGACUACAGUCAUCCAUAAGUGAAUCCAUAGCUUAUGGAAGGGAACCCGGGGAACUGAAACAUCUAAGUACCCGGAGGAAGAGAAAGAAACAUCGAUUCCGUAAGUAGCGGCGAGCGAACGCGGAAGAGCCCAAACCGUGAUGCGUGCAUCGCGGGGUUCGGACUGCAUAAGGGAUUCAGUAACGGCAGGAGAACGGCUUUGGAACAGCCGGCCAGAGAGGGUGAGAGCCCCGUAUCCGAAGCCAGAGCUGACCCGGCAGGAUCCAGAGUACCACGGGACACGGGAAACCCUGUGGGAACGAGCGGAGACCACUCCGUAAGGCUAAAUACUACUCAGUGACCGAUAGCGUAUAGUACUGUGAAGGAAAGGUGAAAAGAACCCCGGGAGGGGAGUGAAAGAGAACCUGAAACCCUGUGUCUACAAGCUGUGGAAGUGCUUUAUAUGCACGACCGCGUACUUUUUGUAGAACGGUCCGGCGAGUUACGCUUACUGGCAAGGUUAAGCACUUCAGGUGCGGAGCCGUAGGGAAACCAAGUCUUAAGAGGGCCUUAAGUCAGUAGGAGUAGACCCGAAACCGGGUGAUCUAUCCAUGUCCAGGUUGAAGCUGCCGUAAGAGGUAGUGGAGGACCGAACCCACAUCCGUUGAAAAGGGUGGGGAUGAGGUGUGGAUAGGGGAGAAAUUCCAAUCGAACCCGGAGAUAGCUGGUUCUCCUCGAAAUAGCUUUAGGGCUAGCCUCAUACAAGUCUGCCGGAGGUAGAGCACUGAAUUUCCGCGGGGGCGUCAAAGCCUACCAAAGAAUAUCAAACUCCGAAUGCCGGACAGAUGGUGUAUGGGAGUCAGACUGUACGAGAUAAGUUGGACAGUCAAAAGGGAAAGAGCCCAGACCGCCGGCUAAGGUCCCAAAGUGGGUGUUAAGUGGAAAAGGAUGUGGGAUCUCUAAGACAACCAGGAUGUUGGCUCAGAAGCAGCCAUUCAUUAAAAGAGUGCGUAACAGCUCACUGGUCGAGAGGUCCUGCGCCGAAAAUGUCCGGGGCUGAAACACCACACCGAAGCCGCGGAACCCGUAAGGGUUGGUAGAGGAGCAUUCUUAGGGGAGCGAAGCAUUACCGGAAGGGGAUGUGGACCGCUAAGAAGAGAGAAUGCCGGAAUGAGUAGCGAGAGCAAGGUGAGAAUCCUUGCGGCCGAAUAUCCAAGGUUUCCAGAGUAAAGCUGAUCUGCUCUGGGUAAGUCGGGGCCUAAGGAGAGGCAGAGAUGCGUAUCCGAUGGACAGCAGGUUUAAGAUUCCUGCACCCCUUGUUAUCAGAACUGCGGGGACACGGGAAGGGAAGCAGAGCCGGGAAUGGAAAGCCCGGUGCAAGCGAAGGAGUCGCAGGGUUGGAAAAUCCGCCCUGCAUGAGACGAAGGCGUGAUGCGGAGCGAAAUGAAGUAGUGAAGCUGCGGCCCCUUCCUGUCGAGAAAAGCCGCUAUCGUGUAGCAAGGGCCCGUACCGUAAACCGACACAGGUGGAUGAGGAGAGGAUCCUAAGGCCGGCGGGAGAAGUGUUGUUAAGGAACUCGGCAAAAUGACUCCGUAACUUCGGGAGAAGGAGUGCUGCGCAAGCAGCCGCAGAGAAAUGGCCCAAGCAACUGUUUAGCAAAAACACAGGUCUAUGCGAAACCGAAAGGUGAGGUAUAUGGGCUGACGCCUGCCCGGUGCUGGAAGGUUAAGGGGAGAGGUUAGCGCAAGCGAAGCUUUGAACUUAAGCCCCAGUAAACGGCGGCCGUAACUAUAACGGUCCUAAGGUAGCGAAAUUCCUUGUCGGGUAAGUUCCGACCCGCACGAAAGGCGUAAUGAUUUGGGCACUGUCUCAACAACACACCCGGUGAAAUUGAAAUACCAGUGAAGAUGCUGGUUACCCGCGCCAGGACGGAAAGACCCCAUGGAGCUUUACUCCAGC
rnacentral:rRNA from 1 species